GACGAACGCUGGCGGCGUGCCUAAUACAUGCAAGUCGAACGCAGUGGGGACGGGUGAGUAACACGUGGGUAACCUCCCAUCAGAGGGGAUAACACUUGGAAACAGGUGCUAAACCGAUACUGAUGGAUGGACCCGCGGUGCAUUAGCUAGUUGGUGGGGUAACGGCUCACCAAGGCCACGAUGCAUAGCCGGCUUGAGAGGGUGAACGGCCACACUGGAACGGAGACACGGCCAAGACUCCUACGGGAGGCAGCAGUGGGGAAUCGUGGGCAAUGGGCGCAAGUCUGACCGAGCAACGCCGCGUGUGUGAAGAAGGUUUUCGGAUCGUAAACCUCUGUUAGUAGGGAAGCGUUAUCUACACAGAAAGCACCGGCUAACUACGUGCCAGCCGCCGCGGUAAUAC
rnacentral:rRNA from 1 species